AAUAAACCUCUCUUCUCUUACCUCUUUCAGGGACAGGUCACCAACAUUUAAAAAUUGGAUGGGUUCAAGUCAGUUGUGCAAAUGACAUGCAUGUUAAAAGGCUCAAACUAUUGCAUCAUUUCUACAUGUGAAGAAAUGAGCAAUUCUCAAGUGACACAAACAACCAAACCAUUCACUAUUUUUCAAUAAGUACUAGGGCAGGAAUGUGCACUUAAUCAAGAUCUAACGUGAAAACCACUACUGUAUUUUUAUCUUAUGUGUGUAUGCAGGCUGGCAUCUAUAGGACUGGUAUGCAGAAGCAGGCUUGCUGGGCAGAAGACGUGUACCUGUGACUGAACAGCAGCAAGCAGCAUGGUGCCUUUUACAAAGUUUAAGUGUAAAUGUUCACUUCCACUGACAGUGCAAAGUGAUGUUGAAGUUAAUAUUUUGUACUGAAGGCUUUGUGUACUGAAUCCAAAUACACAGGUGGGAAAACACCUAAAUAAGGAACUACUGGGUCAAAAGGUAAUUCCUAAAAUUUUGGAGCACAGAAAAGACCCGAGGAAAACAAAUCCCAAUGAAAGUAAGGAACAAAUCUCAGCACAAAGGCUCAUCACUGCAGAUAAUAGGAAUCAAAGUCAAAGAAGAGAAAGAAAAUCAUCAAAAAAAUAAUUAUCUUUAGCAUAAAUAAUCUGUGGGUAUUUCUGAAUGUUUCUCCAUCUGAGUUUGUAUCAAACAAGUGCUUAGACUAUCAUUCUCCAUUCUGAAAUUCCAUCCUAUGAACUUAACUAGACCUACCUGUAGUGCAGGUACACAAUGGGGGCUGAGAAAUCACUCCUCUCAACCCACUUAAGUUUGGGCAACACCCCAGGGCCAAUUCUUCUUCCACUGUUCUAAAAGAGGUGGAAAAGAAAAUAACAAAGACCCAGGAAAUCUCUGAAGCUCUAGGCCAGA